GAGAGCCGAAAACAGCCAGAGUUUGAUAAGAAGUUAAGGAGCUAUUCAAGGAUUGUCUCAGCCCAAACCAAAUUGACAUUAUGCUCAAGAAAAAAACAAAAGCUCGGUGGACACAAGAGGAGUUCUCAAAAGCAUUCACACUCAGGUAUUUAAGUCAACGGUCGUAUUCUUACGUCAAGGAUACACUAAACUACCCACUGCCUGGUCUCAGUACGUUGCGGAAGUGGGCCUCGCUUUCUCAACUCAAAAGCGGUGUCUUAGACGAUGUGUUCAGGAUCAUGCAGAUCUCAGGUCAAAACAAGUCUGCUGCCCAGCGAUGCACUGUCCUCUCUUUCUCGGAGAUGAAAGUUGCAUCUGUUUAUGAAUACAAUGACAAGGAAGACGAUAUCAUUGGCCCACAUAAUUAUAUGCAGGUUAGUAUCCUCUAUUUUAUUUUCAAGAGAGUCAUUUUAACGGACCACUAGACAAGGUACGAAUUAAAGGAUUCUGAUACAUGAUUCUUAACCAAAAUUCAAAACCGCAGAACACGAUUCGCGCAACGAAAAUUACUGAAACCAACUCCUAACGAAGAUAUUAACGUUUUUAUUUCACAUUGGUUACGAGGAAUUUGAACUGCCCGCUCACAAGAAACUCAAAGCUCUACGUGAGUCAAAUCGUGCACUACAACGGUUUCAGCAAGCUUCCCAGUCGAGCAAUGUUCAUUUACCACCAUGUGUUGUUCAAACUAUAAGCAGUGUCCUAUAGCUGAGCCAAAGCGUCAAAAUUGAGGUUGCCAGAUUUUUAAAUCACAGAUACUGUCAUGAUAACGUCUAGCGCGCGAUGUGAAUCACGUAGAACAUUGAGUUUUCAUGAGCGGGUGGUUUGAAUUCACGCAUCAAGAAUCAUUAAAUAUCUUCGUAAAGAGUUGAUAUCGGUAAUUCUCGCUGUGCGCAUCGUGUUCUACAAGAAAGUUUGGUUAAGAAACAUGUAUCAGAAUGCUGAAAUUCGUACCUUGUCUAGUGGUCCAUUGAAGAUCCCUAUUAAAUGAUUAUGAAGUUUAACAGCCAAAGAUUCUAACCUCAAGCUUUCCAAAUUCUUUACAUUCUAAUCUCUAAUUAAACUGCCUAUGAUCAAAAUUCCGAAAAUUGUUCUGGGAAACUCAUUUUUCAGUUCCAUUCCCGGAGGAUCUGGAUUUGAUGUAAGUAGAUUGAUUCAAAUUUAAUUUCAUUCUCAAAAUUGAAAAAAAAGAAAGAAAAAAUCCUUUUGGAACAAUUGAGAUAUUGGGUGCAGAAAAGGCACCUAUUGGUUGCGGGGUUUCAGAAUCUUUGCAGCUUAGUAAUUAAUAUUUUAGGGAGGAAACUAUUCAGUGAAUAUUUUGAAAUUCUUUGUUCAGAGCAUUGUAAAAUUGUCCAGAAUAUUUAGUGAAAGUUUCAAUGAAUUACAUAUAUUUGCUGUGUUCUUAAGGGACGAAAUGUCAGUACAGAUUCUGAGACACUGGAAUUGAGGAAUGCCCCUCCAACAUUCGAUGCCUCAAUUAAUGUAAACAUACCUAAUUCACAAGAAUUCAAAAAUUAACUUUCCAUCGCACCAUUAAGCAUAUCCUUUUGGUAUGAAGUGAGAAUAUACUCUACAAGUGGUGGCUCCGUAUAAUGUCCUGACAAGCUUAAGUUCUCAAUUCAUGCAGCGUUCCAAGCCUUUGAGAAUUCUUUCAAAUUUUGCAACACGGUUGGAAUAAGUUCAAAAAAAUUUGGAUUAAUGCAGUGCAGUUUUCUAGUCCUGUGUAUAGCGUUUUUCUACUCUCAAACCGUUUUUUGAUCAUCUAUAUUUUCUCGGCGGUUGUCUCGGUCAUCAUACAUUUUCAUCUAUAUUUAAAUCGGUUUCACAAAAAGUAGAAUAAAAGUGGAAC
rnacentral:lncRNA from 1 species